GCCCAGGUGGUGGAAUUUGGUAUACACGCAUCCUUGAGGUGGAUGUGGGAGCAAUCCCGUGGAGGUUCGAGUCCUCUCCUGGGCACCA
rnacentral:tRNA from 1 species